rnacentral:rRNA from 1 species
AUGAACGCUAGCGACAGGCCUAACACAUGCAAGUCGAGGGGCAGCACAAGGAGCAAUCUGAGGUGGCGACCGGCGCACGGGUGAGUAACACGUAUGCAACCUGCUGUAAGCGGGGAAUAACCCGUUGAAAGACGGACUAAUACCGCAUAAUACUAAAUUACUGCAUGGUAAUUUAUUUUAAACAUUUAUGGCUUACAGAUGGGCAUGCGCAUGAUUAGCUAGUUGGAGAGGUAACGGCUCCCCAAGGCAACGAUCAUUAGGGGUUCUGAGAGGAAGGUCCCCCACACUGGUACUGAGACACGGACCAGACUCCUACGGGAGGCAGCAGUGAGGAAUAUUGGUCAAUGGACGAGAGUCUGAACCAGCCAAGUCGCGUGCAGGAAGAAUGUCCCUAUGGAUUGUAAACUGCUUUUGCAGGGGAAUAAAGUGCAUCACGUGUGAUGUUUUGUAUGUACUCUGCGAAUAAGGAUCGGCUAACUCCGUGCCAGCAGCCGC